UGAAGAGUAGAUCUGACUCUUGGUUAUUGAACCCUCCCAGAACCCGGCGCUGUCUGUACUAGUGACUGACUAAAUAAAGAUGAAACGGACGGGGACACUGAACCGCAGGCUGCAGAGAUUAGGCAGAGGAAAAGAGACUCAGACUUCCUUGACACGCUGAGGGACAUGGACGAUGCUAACCCGGGCCGUCCUACAGCAAGGACAGGAGCAGCGGGAACAGUAUAUGCAGCUGUUACUUGAGAGCCAGGCCACAGAAAGAGUGAUGAGGAUGCGAGAGAAGGCAUUCCUCGAGUCUGAGGCGGAGGAAACCAGGCGGAUCCAGAGAGAGUUUCAAGGCGGGUUCCUGUCUGUUUUUGGCCAGCUUGUCGAGACGCUGAGCCAACGAA